rnacentral:rRNA from 1 species
UACGGAGGGUGCAAGCGUUAAUCGGAAUUACUGGGCGUAAAGCGCACGUAGGUGGUUUAUUAAGUCGGAUGUGAAAGCCCCGGGCUCAACCUGGGAACUGCACUCGAUACUGGUAAACUAGAGUAUAGUAGAGGCAAGUGGAAUUCCAGGUGUAGCGGUGAAAUGCGUAGAUAUCUGGAGGAACAUCAGUGGCGAAGGCGACUUGCUGGACUAAUACUGACACUGAGGUGCGAAAGCGUGGGGAGCAAACAGG